UACGUAGGGUGCAAGCGUUGUCCGGAAUUAUUGGGCGUAAAGAGCUCGUAGGUGGUCUGUUGCGUCCGCUGUGAAAACCCGGGGCUUAACCCUGGGCUGGCAGUGGAUACGGACAGACUAGAGGUAGGUAGGGGAGAAUGGAAUUCCCGGUGUAGCGGUGAAAUGCGCAGAUAUCGGGAGGAACACCGGUGGCGAAGGCGGUUCUCUGGGCCUUACCUGACGCUGAGGAGCGAAAGCGUGGGGAGCGAACAGG
rnacentral:rRNA from 1 species